rnacentral:rRNA from 1 species
AUUGAACGCUGGCGGCAGGCUUAACACAUGCAAGUCGAGCGGGGGAGGUUGCUUCGGUAACUGACCUAGCGGCGGACGGGUGAGUAAUGCUUAGGAAUCUGCCUAUUAGUGGGGGACAACAUUCCGAAAGGGAUGCUAAUACCGCAUACGCCCUACGGGGGAAAGCAGGGGAUCUUCGGACCUUGCGCUAAUAGAUGAGCCUAAGUCGGAUUAGCUAGUUGGUGGGGUAAAGGCCUACCAAGGCGACGAUCUGUAGCGGGUCUGAGAGGAUGAUCCGCCAAACUGGGACUGAGACACGGCCCAGACUCCUACGGGAGGCAGCAGUGGGGAAUAUUGGACAAUGGGCGGAAGCCUGAUCCAGCCAUGCCGCGUGUGUGAAGAAGGCCUUUUGGUUGUAAAGCACUUUAAGUUGGGAGGAAGGGCAGUAAGUUAAUACCUUGCUGUUUUGACGUUACCAACAGAAUAAGCACCGGCUAACUUCGUGCCAGCCGCCGCGGUAACAC